rnacentral:rRNA from 1 species
CCUACGUGCUGCAGCAGUGGGGAAUAUUGGACAAUGGGCGAAAGCCUGAUCCAGCCAUGCCGCGUGUGUGAAGAAGGCCUUCGGGUUGUAAAGCACUUUCAGUGGGGAAGAAAGCCUUGGGGCUAAUACCCUCGAGGAAGGACAUCACCCACAGAAGAAGCACCGGCUAACUCCGUGCCAGCAGCCGCGGUAAUACGGAGGGUGCGAGCGUUAAUCGGAAUUACUGGGCGUAAAGCGCGCGUAGGCGGUCUGAUAAGCCGGUUGUGAAAGCCCCGGGCUCAACCUGGGAACGGCAUCCGGAACUGUCAGGCUAGAGUGCAGGAGAGGAAGGUAGAAUUCCCGGUGUAGCGGUGAAAUGCGUAGAGAUCGGGAGGAAUACCAGUGGCGAAGGCGGCCUUCUGGACUGACACUGACGCUGAGGUGCGAAAGCGUGGGUAGCAAACAGGAUUAGAUACCCUUGUAGUC